ensembl:lncRNA
GCCACAGAGGCAGGUGCUCCUGUCCCCAGGUUACAGACAUGGAGACUGAGGCAAGCAAGAGUCCACACCUCAGCAUACGGUAGCAAGGCCUCUCAGAGCCUGCUCCACCCUCACCGCUGCCAUUCUUCUGGCCAUUCUUCCUUCCAUGUCCCCCUCCAGGCCUGUCCUUAAUCUGCUUAGCACAGUGGCUAGUGUAGGGUGACUAGUGUGGGGUGUCUGUGAAUAUUGCAUAAAUCAAUACUUUCAUGGCUCCAACAACAGCACUGAGCAUGUAUGGAAGUGCUAGGGAUCAAACACAGGGCCUCACCCAUGCUAGGCAAGUCCCCUACCACUGAUACACCCCCAGCCCGCUAUAUGGAAUUUCUUAAAAGUUAUCUAAAUGGCUUCCCUACCAGAGUUCCUCAUUUCUGCCACCUGAUGACUUCCAUUCCCAGACAAACUAAAGCCAAAGUCCUAGACUAUGGGUCCCUGUUCAUCCCUGAGCAGACAGAUCCUGCUGUAGAGAGCUGAAGAUAGGCCUGUUUCCAUCUUCCCACUUUUGUCCAGAUGAGGGACUCUUUAUCUGCUGCCACUCCCUCACUUUCUUUCCUACAAGCUAAUAAAAAAACCCUUCUAAGAUAUGAUUCAAGAAAAUAUCUUUUAUGCAGUCUUUUCUGACAACUCCCAUCCCAUACCAAUUAGAACUAAAAACCCUUUUUGUGAUCCAACACCACCCCUGUUCAUAUCCACCCAGCAGCAGCUCCUCUGAAGGUGGGGCUCACAUCUGGGAUCUGCAUCUUUAGGUCUGGCACAGGCCUGCCUUCAGUAGACACUCCACUCUGCUCCCUGGGAGUAUCUCUGGGGAGAAGCCACUCCCAUGUGGCUGAGACUGUCAGGAUCAGGGAUUUCUCCUUCCGAAGGGAGAAUCACCCACCUCUUGGGGGAGAUAGGAGCAGAGAGGAGACCCCUGGGUGAAAGGACCUGUACAAUUUUAGAGAAAGAAAGAACAGGAGACAUCAGUGUGGCCCCACGGGGAACCCAACCCGCUGGCAUCCUGCACCAGGACAGAGCACAAAACCUUACCCCUCCUCCUGCCUUUUAUCUUGGGAAACCAUAAAGCCCACUCUGUAGGCCAGCAACCUGUAGGAAGGCACAAAGGGGCCACAGUGGUUGUUUGGCCUUCCUCUCUGGUCUGUCUGGGCCUCUGGGCUAAAGAGAGAGUUCUUUCAGUUUCUUCUGGUCCCAGCUCCACCCCUGGUGAGACACCCCUGGGUGAGUCACCCCUGGAUUACUCCUGGGCCCACCCUCCAAAGGAGUCCACAAGUGUGGCUGCCACUGGUCUGCCCACAUUCCUCUCUGCAGCCAGGGCCAAAGGCAGAAGCUUAUCUCCCCUAGCCUUGCCACCUUCCCACCCUACACCCAGUCCUGUGGCUCGACCUUUCCCCAUCCUCCUGAUCUCCCUACUUCUUGUCACAUCUGUUACGAAGCCCUAGUCCAAAUUCCCAUCAGGUCUUAGUCACACUACUGCAAAAGCUUCCUGAAUAUCCUGUCACGUGCUACGAUAUGGAUGAACCUAAGGACACCACGCUGGGGGAGAUGGGCCAGUCAUAAAAGGACAAACCCUGCACGAUUCUACUAACACAAGGGAUUGAACUCGGGUCCUUGCACUUCCGAGACAGGCAGUGGAACCACUGAGCUAAAUUCCCAGCCCCAAAGAUGAUUUUAACGAAAAAAAAAACAAAACCUCUGAAAUGCUGUCUCUACUUCCUGCUUGACCUCUAUUUAACUAAAGUGGACAUUUCUCAAUACAGAUCUGAUAAAGGCAAGCUUCUGUGAGUAAAACUUUCAAAAGAUAUGCAUUUUUCUCUCUCUCUUUCUCUCUCUCUUUUGUUUGUUUGUUUUUUUGAGAUUACAGGCAUGUGUCACCAUGCCUAGCUUGGGCAAAGAUUUUGUGGCUAUGACCUCAAAAGCACAGGUAACAAAUCAAAAAUUUAAAAAUGGAAUUAUAUCAGACCAAAAAGCUCCUGCACAGCAGAGGAAACAACCAAGAGAGUUAAGAGGCAAUCUACAGAACAGGAGAAAAAUACUUGCAAAGUAUUUAUCAGACAGGAAAUUACUAUCCAUAAUAUAUAAGGAGCUCAAACAAUUCAAUUUAAAAAUGAACAAAUGAUCUGAAUAGACAUUUCUCAAAAGAAAAUGUACAGAUGGUCAGCAAGUGUGUGAAACAAUGUUUAACAUCAGUAAUUAUCAGGGAAAUGCAAAUCAAAAACCCAGUGAGGUCUCUCACCCCAGUUGGAAUAGUUGUAAUGUAAAAAACAAACAAACAGGCCAGGGAUUUAGCUCAGUGGCACCGUGCCUGCCUUGCAAGUGCAAGGACCCAGAGUUCUAUCCUGGGUACCAAAACAAACAAACAAACAAACCAUACACGGUUGGUGGGAAUGCAAAUUCGGGUGGCCAUUAUGGAAAAUAGUACAAAGGUUCCUCAAAAAACUAGAAAUAGGGCCAGGGAUUUAGCCCAGUGGUUCUGGGACCUGCCUGGCAAGCUCAAGGACCCGAGUUCGAUCCCCAGUACCAAAACAAAACAAAACAAAACUAGAAAUAGAGCCUCCUUAAGAUCCAGCAAUCCCACUGGGAAAUGGAAAGAAAGUGUUCAAAUGUGAAGGAGAACAAAAGAGGAAGGAGGAAAAAAGGAAAGAAGAGACAAGAAAAAAGUGAAAAUAG